rnacentral:rRNA from 1 species
CUCUGUGACUCCUACGGGAGGCAGCAGUGGGGGAAUAUUGCACAAUGGGCGCAAGCCUGAUGCAGCAACGCCGUGUGAGUGAAGAAGGUUUUCGGAUCGUAAAACUCUGUCCUAAGGGAAGAAACAAAUGACGGUACCUUAGGAGGAAGCCCCGGCUAACUACGUGCCAGCAGCCGCGGUAAUACGUAGGGGGGCAAGCGUUAUCCGGAAUCACUGGGCGUAAAGGGUGCGUAGGCGGCUUAGCAAGCCAGGGGUGAAAGGCAUUGGCUCAACCAAUGUAAGCCUUUGGAACUGUUAAGCUUGAGUGCAGGAGAGGUAAGUGGAAUUCCUAGUGUAGAGGUGAAAUUCGUAGAUAUUAGGAGGAACACCAGUGGCGAAGGCGACUUACUGGACUGUAACUGACGCUGAUGCACGAAAGCGUGGGUAGCGAACAGGAUUAGAUACCCUGGUAG